GCGGGUAUCGUAUAAUGGUUAUUACAUGAGUUUUCCAAACUCAUGAUAGGGGUUCGAUUCCCCUUACCCGCU
rnacentral:tRNA from 1 species